rnacentral:lncRNA from 1 species
UUGAUCCAACUGCUGACCUUUAUUUACUCGGUUGGGCAAGUGCAUGCCGCCCGCCCCUGCGUCUCUAAGUUGGGCGCCGGAGCGGUCCUCGGAGAAGUACUUCUCUGGGAACGAGACGCGUUCCGGGGACACUCCUGUCUCUCGAGCGAGGAAAGUCCCGGCCCCCGGGGAUGCUCCGGGAUCACGGCGCGUCGCCCCCGCCGCCCCCGGGGCUGGCCCGGGUCUCACUUGCCCUGGGCUCUGGGGGAAGGUGUCCUCACUCUGUGGGUGGGUUUGGGGUGAACUCGCGCCUCCCGGGCCUGGAGGGAGGGAGGGAGGGGGGGUGGGAGGGGCGCGGGCACCUGGCGGAGCGGGGGAGGGCCCCGCGGGGGGCCCGUACCUGCGGGCGGGAGACGGGGCUGCUGGGGUCCCGACGGCCCUGCGCGCUCCCCGCGGCUCCGGUGCGGCGGCGGCUCGGCGGGACCCCCCGGGUGGCCGGGCGCGCGCUCCUCCCGCGCGGCUCCCGCGCGCCUCUCCCCGCCCCGCAGGCCGGGACGCGCCCAGACACCCCGACCCGCGCGCGGGCGCCGCCUCGGAGCCCGGCUGGCCGAGGGCUUGGGGCCUGUGCGGAGCGGGGGCAGCCAAAGUUGCCCUCCUCUCCCGACUCUGCGACCCCUGGGGGCUAUUCUAA